GAUGAACGCUGGCGGCGUGCCUAAUACAUGCAAGUCGAGCGAACAGAUGAGGAGCUUGCUCCUCUGACGUUAGCGGCGGACGGGUGAGUAACACGUGGAUAACCUACCUAUAAGACUGGGAUAACUUCGGGAAACCGGAGCUAAAACCGGAUAAUAUAUUGAACCGCAUGGUUCAAUAGUGAAAGACGGUUUUGCUGUCACUUAUAGAUGGAUCCGCGCCGCAUUAGCUAGUUGGUAAGGUAACGGCUUACCAAGGCAACGAUGCGUAGCCGACCUGAGAGGGUGAUCAGCCACACUGGAACUGAGACACGGUCCAGACUCCUACGGGAGGCAGCAGUAGGGAAUCUUCCGCAAUGGGCGAAAGCCUGACGGAGCAACGCCGCGUGAGUGAUGAAGGUCUUCGGAUCGUAAAACUCUGUUAUUAGGGAAGAACAAAUGUGUAAGUAACUAUGCACGUCUUGACGGUACCUAAUCAGAAAGCCACGGCUAACUACGUG
rnacentral:rRNA from 1 species